AGACCCGAAACCCGGUGAUCUAGCCAUGGGCAGGUUGAAGGUUGGGUAACACUAACUGGAGGACCGAACCGACUAAUGUUGAAAAAUUAGCGGAUGACCUGUGGCUGGGGGUGAAAGGCCAAUCAAACCGGGAGAUAGCUGGUUCUCCCCGAAAGCUAUUUAGGUAGCGCCUCGUGAAUUCAUCUCCGGGGGUAGAGCACUGUUUCGGCUAGGGGGCCAUCCCGGCUUACCAACCCGAUGCAAACUGCGAAUACCGGAGAAUGUUAUCACGGGAGACACACGGCGGGUGCUAACGUCCGUCGUGAAGAGGGAAACAACCCAGACCGCCAGCUAAGGUCCCAAAGUCAUGGUUAAGUGGGAAACGAUGUGGGAAGGCCCAGACAGCCAGGAUGUUGGCUUAGAAGCAGCCAUCAUUUAAAGAAAGCGUAAUAGCUCACUGGUCGAGUCGGCCUGCGCGGAAGAUGUAACGGGGCUAAACCAUGCACCGAAGCUGCGGCAGCGAACGUAUCACCCAAGACAACUUUACGGAGUUGACGAUUGACGGAGCGAAGCGACGUCAAAGCGUUCAUUAAAGUCGAGUUGGCUUAGGGAUACGUUCGUUGGGUAGGGGAGCGUUCUGUAAGCCUGUGAAGGUGUGUCGUGAGGCAUGCUGGAGGUAUCAGAAGUGCGAAUGCUGACAUAAGUAACGAUAAAGCGGGUGAAAAGCCCGCUCGCCGGAAGACCAAGGGUUCCUGUCCAACGUUAAUCGGGGCAGGGUGAGUCGACCCCUAAGGCGAGGCCGAAAGGCGUAGUCGAUGGGAAACGGGUUAAUAUUCCCGUACUUGGUGUUACUGCGAAGGGGGGACGGAGAAGGCUAUGUUGGCCGGGCGACGGUUGUCCCGGUUUAAGCGUGUAGGUGUGUGUUCCAGGUAAAUCCGGUUCACUUUAACACUGAGGC
rnacentral:rRNA from 4 species